ensembl:lncRNA
CGGGUAACGGGUUGACACAGGUGUCUUUUAUACGGGUAACGGGUUGACACAGGUGUCUUUUAUACUUUUAAGUUUACAUCAACAUGGUUCCCUGUAUCCAAAACCAUGUCCUGAAGUCAAUGGGUGCAGUAGCCAAAUUGUAUGGAUUUGUAUUCACAGUUCAACACCCUAACAUUGGUAGCUGAGUUGAGUUUAGCUUCUGUGCGUAGAAGAUAUCUCUUUUUGCUGAUGACAUUACCACUUCAUAUACCGUGAAAGAUGGAUCCGUAAUUGGAUAUGAGCGUAAUCUUGAUACAAUUUAAAUUCUGUUACUGUAUUCAAUUAUUACAGUGUCCCUUUCAAGUGACUCGUAGGUUGCAAACAUCUGGGCCCGGUUUUUCAAAAGGUUUAAUCCGGAUAAAAUUGAUCCGGAUUUAGUAAUCCUUUUUUUUGCGAUCCGUGAUCACGUAAUCCAGUUUACUUUUGAGCCAGUUUUUCAAAGCAACAUCGGAUUGGAUCAAUCUGAUCCGGAUAGGAACUUUUCAGGAUCAUCAAAUCUGGAUAACCAGUGCUCAAACAGGAUAGGAAAUCACAUUGUAGAACUAUAGAUAUGUAAAGAGCAACAAGUAGAAUAGCCAGUGUGGGGUCAAUAUAAGUUUUUUUUAUUUUUAUGAAAACACACACACAUUUAAAAAAAAAAAAAAAAAAAAAGAAAAACCCCACUCCAUCCUCUUCCAGCAGUCCGCUUAUCUGAGACCUACAACACAAACACUGUACAUUUGAGGAUAUUUAUAACAAGUUUCAAAUAUAGAUGUAUUGAAUUAAAAAAAAGACUUAAUGUCAAAUACUCCACAAUAAUUUCAGACUUCCUCAUCCGAUGUGGAGAGACCAGCUUGUCUAAGCGUAGCCUUUAGGAGGCGGAUCUCAAGUCUGGCCUUGGUUUGCUGCAGUUUGGUCAGAGUCAGUUGUUCCACUGCCAGAACGAGCAAACAGGACGUGCAACAAGAGACGCGAUAGUUAGACACUAUUUCUGAUUUGGAUUUGUUUUGGAUUUCAAAAAUCAGUGAUUGCCAUUCUUUGCAUUUUUUUGGUUAUUCUGUAAUCAUUGCAUGCAUCACUAAUAAAUAUUCUAAAAACAAAAAUAUUUUCGAUUGUGA